rnacentral:rRNA from 2 species
GACGAACCGUGCGAACGUUGUUCGGAAUCACUGGGCUUAAAGGGCGCGUAGGCGGACCACCAAGUCCGGGGUGAAAUCCUCCGGCUUAACCGGAGAAUUGCCUGGGAUACUGGUGGUCUUGAGGGAGGUAGGGGCACGCGGAACUUCCGGUGGAGCGGUGAAAUGCGUUGAUAUCGGAAGGAACGCCGGUGGCGAAAGCGGCGUGCUGGCCCUCUUCUGACGCUGAGGCGCGAAAGCCAGGGGAGCGAACGGG